rnacentral:rRNA from 1 species
UACGUAGGGGGCAAGCGUUGUCCGGAAUCAUUGGGCGUAAAGCGCGCGUAGGCGGCCCUGUAAGUCCGUUGUGAAAGUCAAAGGCUCAACCUUUGAAAGCCGAUGGAUACUGCAGGGCUAGAGUCCGGAAGAGGCGAGUGGAAUUCCUGGUGUAGCGGUGAAAUGCGCAGAUAUCAGGAAGAACACCCGUGGCGAAGGCGGCUCUCUGGGACGGUACUGACGCUGAGACGCGAAAGCGUGGGGAGCGAACAGG